UUCAGCUGUGGCUGCAGCUGCUGUGCUGACUCACGCGCCCCAGCCGCCGGCAGGAUCUGGGAGCAUGGUCUCCCCAGGGGCCAUGGUGGGCUGGGGGCUUCUGGAUUACAAAACGGAAAAGUAUGUGAGGACCCGGAACUGGAGGGUGGGCGCCUUGCAGAGGUUGCUGCAGCUGGGGGUCAUGGUCUACGUGGUGGGGUGGGCCCUCCUCGCCAAAAAAGGCUACCAGGAGCAGGACCUGGACCCCCAGAUUUCUGUCAUCACCAAACUCAAAGGGGUUUCCGUAACCCAGAUCAAGGAGCUGGGGAACCGGCUGUGGGAUGUGGCUGACUUCGUGAAGCCACCACAGGGAGAGAACGUGUUCUUCUUGGUGACCAAUUUCCUUGUGACGCCAGAACAAGUUCAGGGCAGAUGCCCAGAGCACCCCUCCAUCCCGCUGGCUAGCUGCUGGGCCGACCAGGACUGUCCUGAAGGGGAGACAGGGACCCACAGCCACGGCAUAAAAACGGGCCAGUGCGUAGUGUUCAACGGGACCCACAGGACCUGUGAGAUCCGGGGCUGGUGCCCAGUGGAGAGUGGUGCUGUGCCUGUGAAGCCCCUGCUGGUCCAGGCCGAGAACUUCACGCUGUUCAUCAAAAACACCGUCACCUUCAGCAAGUUUAACUUCUCCAAGUCCAAUGCCUUGGACACCCAGGACCCAACAUAUUUCAAGCGCUGCCGCUACGACCCGCGCUCCAGCCCCUCCUGCCCUGUGUUCCGCAUCAGGGACCUCAUGGCCGCAGCUGGAGGGGUCUUUGAGGACCUGGCGCUGCUGCUGCAGGAGCGGAGCUACAACUUCAGGUGCGGCCCCCACUGCCCACCUGCUCCGAGCCAGGUUCUCAUCUGCCUGUCCUCCUGUGGUGGCCGGCACAGACCACCCCUCCCAGAACUCUGGAUGGCCACUGUAUGUGGGAGGGGGGCCCAGGGGAAGGAGGAGGUGGUCUCAGCUCCACGACCCCCAACACAGGCUCCAUCCAGCCUCCCUCCUGAGCCUUAUCUCCUCCACCCCAACCCCUGCUGCUGCUGGGACCCCUCCCCCAGCCCCUCCUCCCCCAUCCUGCCUCUAGCACCUCCCUCCACUGCACAGGGGGCUUUCUUUUUUACUUUUCCCUUAAGGUUUUAUCAAAAAAAUUACAAAAAUCUAUAGAAAAGUUCAAAAAUUAGUACCGUGAACACCCAUAUAGCUGUCAUCUGGGUUCACCAGGGUUUUUUUUGUUUUUUGUUUUUACCAUUUUGACACGUUUGCUUUCUCUCUCCUCUCUAGACUGAGCUGCAUAUAUUUAGAUAGAUUUCAGACCAAACCAUUUGAAAGUAAGGAGAUGUCCGGCAGACACUCACCCCUCCCCAGGCUGUCCUGAGAAUAAGCACCUUUCCCAAAUGACCGCUGUCCUGUUGUCACAUUCAAGAAAUUUAACACUGGCAGAAUGAAUCUAAUAUUUAAAUUUCCCCAAUUGUGCCAAUAAUAGUCCAAAAUCUUUUUAUUUUCCAAUCCAGGGUGUACUCAAGGAACUUGCAUUGCAUUUAUUCUCAUGCCUUUGAGUCUCCCAAGCAGACCUUCCCCUGCUGCUGCCCAGUGGGAUCCUAUGUUUCUGCCACCUCAUGUCACCUCGUCACUUGCGUGCACACACACACGAGCGGACCUUGCCUGGACUGGUUUCACUGACCUCCCCUGCCCUUUGCAGCUAUGUGGAGCUGGCCCCCACCUGUGCUCUGCUCCCCUUAGUUCUGUGCUCUCGCUGGUACUGCUUUGUCUAGAACUCCUUCCUGAUCCCUGGAAAACCAACCUGCGUGUCCCCACUGCAGAAAGCCUUCCCUGGUUCCUAGGGGAGAGUGAGCUACCCCCUCUGGACCCUCACAGCCCUGGGCCUGCCCCCCAGCUCCCCUUGCCCCCACUGCAGGCAUCUAUUUAGAGACCCCUCUACCUCAUCCCCUCAGCAGGCAGGGAGCUCCUGAGAGGCGGGUCCUGCUUGCUCUUUCCCUGUAUCCUCAACAAAAAACCCAGGACUCAGGGUAGGGCUGGGGGUUUGUGGAGUCAGUGGGUGAGCAAGAUGGAGGCCUGGGAGGGCCAGCCUGGCCGGGAAGCGGGCAGAACAGGCCACCAGACUCUCUCCUGCCCCCAGGACGGCCACUCACUGGUGGGAGGCCUCGGGUGUGGAGGUCCGGAGUCUGCUAAAGCUCUACGGGAUCCGUUUUGACAUCCUCGUCACUGGGCGGGCAGGGAAGUUCGGGCUCAUCCCCACACUCAUCACUCUGGGCACAGGAGCAGCU